GACGAACGCUGGCGGCGUGCUUAACACAUGCAAGUCGAACGGAAAGGCCCUGCUUUUGUGGGGUGCUCGAGUGGCGAACGGGUGAGUAACACGUGAGUAACCUGCCCUUGACUUUGGGAUAACUUCAGGAAACUGGGGCUAAUACCGGAUAGGAGCUCCUGCUGCAUGGUGGGGGUUGGAAAGUUUCGGCGGUUGGGGAUGGACUCGCGGCUUAUCAGCUUGUUGGUGGGGUAGUGGCUUACCAAGGCUUUGACGGGUAGCCGGCCUGGGAGGGGGACCGGCCACAUUGGGACUGAGAUACGGCCCAGACUCCUACGGGAGGCAGCAGUGGGGAAUAUUGCACAAUGGGCGGAAGCCUGAUGCAGCAACGCCGCGUGCGGGAUGACGGCCUUCGGGUUGUAAACCGCUUUCGCCUGUGACGAAGCGUGAGUGACGGUAAUGGAUAAAGAAGCACCGGCUAACUACGUG
rnacentral:rRNA from 1 species